AUGAUAGUUAUGGAAGUGACAAGAGGAAGAGCAGCAGUGAGUCCUUACCUUCUCCUCCUCCCAUUCCUCCUGAUCAACUGGAUGCAUUUAGCCUUCUCUCUAAAAUAAUAAAACAUAACCACACUAGUGAACAUAAUCAACAAUUUGCCGGUCAACUUGUAUGAAUGACACUCCAUUUUCUUCUAAGAUUCAUUAAAACUCAUUCCAGUACCAGCAGAAUGGGAACUAGACCUUCAGGAACUGAUGAACCAGAAGUGACGUCACUUGGGUGAAGUGAGAGCCAGGCCAGUGAGGACUCAUCAUACUUGGGACACUCUUUUAAAACUCUGGUUUCAUAUCGUCCAGUGAAAUAACAUCCCAUAUUCACAGUCUUAGAGAAUACCUGCCUAAAAGUAUUACACUGAAUUACUGAUCCUAGGAGGAAGCGACAGAGUUUGACUGUUUCUUACACAUAAUGGUGAGAAAAGAAUCCUGGGACCACGCCUCCACUGAGACAGUAAUCCAGUGAUCGUUAGUAACCGGUAACGUAACGUUCCAUUAGGCCAAUCCAUCUCAUUCAUUGGUAGUUAAAAGGGGAGGAGUCACCACACCCUCAAGAUG